AUUGAACGCUGGCGGCAGGCCUAAUACAUGCAAGUCGAGCGGAGCUGCGGACGGGCGAGUAAGGCCUAGGAAUCUGCCUGGUCGUGGGGGAUAACGUCCGGUAACGGGCGCUAAUAUAGUAUACUACCUGAUGAGCCUAGGUCGGAUUAGCUAGUUGGUGGGGUAAAGGCCUACCAAGGCGACGAUCCGUAGCUGGUCUGAGAGGGUGAUCAGUCACACUGGAACUGAGACACGGUCCAGACUCCUACGGGAGGCAGCAGUGGGGAAUAUUGGACAAUGGGCGAAAGCCUGACGCAGCCAUGCCGCGUGUGUGAAGAAGGUCUUCGGAUUGUAAAGCACUUUAAGUUGGGAAGCGUUACCAACACAAUAAGCACCGGCUAACUUCGUGCCAGCAGCCGCGGUAAUUC
rnacentral:rRNA from 1 species